CCUACGGGGUGCAGCAGUAGGGAAUCUUCCACAAUGGACGAAAGUCUGAUGGAGCAACGCCGCGUGAGUGAUGAAGGGUUUCGGCUCGUAAAGCUCUGUUGGUAGUGAAGAACGAUCGAGGUAGUAACUGGCCUCUAUUUGACGGUAAUUACUUAGAAAGUCACGGCUAACUACGUGCCAGCAGCCGCGGUAAUACGUAGGUGACAAGCGUUGUCCGGAUUUAUUGGGCGUAAAGCGAGUGCAGGCGGUUUAAUAAGUCUGAUGUGAAAGCCUUCGGCUCAACCGUAGAAUGGCAUCAGAAACUGUUGAACUUGAGUGCAGAAGAGGAGAGUGGAACUCCAUGUGUAGCGGUGGAAUGCGUAGAGAUAUGGAAGAACACCAGUGGCGAAGGCGACUCUCUGGUCUGCAACUGACGCUGAGGCGCGAAAGCAUGGGUAGCGAACAGGAUUAGAUACCCCUGUAGUC
rnacentral:rRNA from 1 species